CUUUCUUUGCUGGCGACCGGCGCACGGGUGAGUAACACGUAUCCAACCUGCCCUUUACUCGGGGAUAGCCUCUCGAAAGAAAGAUUAAUACCCGAUAGUAUAAUGAUUCCGCAUGGUUUCAUUAUUAAAGGAUUCCGGUAAAGGAUGGGGAUGCGUUCCAUUAGGUUGUUGGUGAGGUAACGGCUCACCAAGCCUUCGAUGGAUAGGGGUUCUGAGAGGAAGGUCCCCCACAUUGGAACUGAGACACGGUCCAA
rnacentral:rRNA from 1 species